ACGUACGCUGGCGGCACGCCUAACACAUGCAAGUCGAACGAAGUAGCAAUACUUAGUGGCAGACGGGUGAGUAACAUGUAGGUAUCUGCCCUUUGGCCUGGAAUAACACGAGGAAACUUGUGCUAAUACCGGAUAAGUCUUUACGGAGAAAGCUUUAUGCACCAUUGGAUGAGCCUGCACUUGAUUAGUUUGUUGGUGGGGUAAUGGCCUACCAAGACUGUGAUCAAUAGCUGAUUUGAGAGGAUGAUCAGCCACAUUGGGACUGAGACACGGCCCAAACUCCUACGGGAGGCAGCAGUGGGGAAUCUUGCACAAUGGAGGAAACUCUGAUGCAGCGAUGCCGCGUGAGUGAAGAAGGCCCUUGGGUUGUAAAGCUCUUUCGUCGGGGAAGAAAAUGACUGUACCCGAAUAAGAAGGUCCGGCUAACUUCGUGCCAGCAGCCGCGGUAAUACGAAGGGACCUAGCGUAGUUCGGAAUUACUGGGCUUAAAGAGUUCGUAGGUGGUUGAAAAAGUUAGUGGUGAAAUCCCAGAGCUUAACUCUGGAACUGCCAUUAAAACUUUUCAGCUAGAGUAUGAUAGAGGAAAGCAGAAUUUCUAGUGUAGAGGUGAAAUUCGUAGAUAUUAGAAAGAAUACCAAUUGCGAAGGCAGCUUUCUGGAUCAUUACUGACACUGAGGAACGAAAGCAUGGGUAGCGAAGAGGAUUAGAUACCCUCGUAGUCCAUGCCGUAAACGAUGUGUGUUAGACGUUGGAAAUUUAUUUUCAGUGUCGCAGCGAAAGCGAUAAACACACCGCCUGGGGAGUACGACCGCAAGGUUAAAACUCAAAUGAAUUGACGGGGACCCGCACAAGUAGUGGAGCAUGUGGUUUAAUUCGAAGAUACGCGCAGAACCUUACCAACACUUGACAUGUUCGUCGCGACUCUAAGAGAUUGGAGUUUUCGGUUCGGCCGGACGAAACACAGGUGCUGCAUGGCUGUCGUCAGCUCGUGUCGUGAGAUGUUGGGUUAAGUCCCGCAACGAGCGCAACCCUCACUUUUAGUUGCCAUCAUUAAGUUGGGCACUCUGAAAGAACUGCCAGUGAUAAGCUGGAGGAAGGUGGGGAUGACGUCAAGUCCUCAUGGCCCUUACGUGUUGGGCUACACACGUGCUACAAUGGUAUCUACAACAGGAAGCAAGACUGCGAAGUUAAGCAAAUCCCUAAAAGAUACCUCAGUUCGGAUUGCACUCUGCAACUCGAGUGCAUGAAGCUGGAAUUACUAGUAAUCGUGGAUCAGCGUGCCACGGUGAAUGCGUUCCCGGGUCUUGUACACACCGCCC
rnacentral:rRNA from 1 species